UACAGAGGGGGCAAGCGUUGUUCGGAAUUACUGGGCGUAAAGGGCGCGUAGGCGGCCUUCUAAGUCGAACGUGAAAUCCCCGGGCUUAACCCGGGAACUGCGUCCGAGACUGAAAGGCUCGAAUCCGGGAGAGGGAUGUGGAAUUCCAGGUGUAGCGGUGAAAUGCGUAGAUAUCUGGAGGAACAUCGGUGGCGAAGGCGGCAUCCUGGACCGGUAUUGACGCUGAGGCGCGAAAGCCAGGGGAGCAAACGGG
rnacentral:rRNA from 1 species